UACGAAGGGGGCUAGCGUUGUUCGGAAUUACUGGGCGUAAAGCGCACGUAGGCGGAUAUUUAAGUCAGGGGUGACAUCCCGGGGCUCAACCCCGGAACUGCCUCUGAUACUGGGUAUCUUGAGUGUGGUAGAGGUAAGUGGAAUUGCGAGUGUAGAGGUGAAAUUCGUAGAUAUGCGGAAGAACACCAGUGGCGAAGGCGACUGACUGGACAAGUAUUGACGCUGAGGUGCGAAAGCGUGGGGAGCAAACAGC
rnacentral:rRNA from 1 species